UACGUAGGGGGCAAGCGUUGUCCGGAAUUAUUGGGCGUAAAGCGCGCGCAGGCGGCUCUUUAAGUCUGAUGUGAAAGCCCACGGCUCAACCGUGGAGGGUCAUUGGAAACUGGGGAGCUUGAGUGCAGAAGAGGAGAGCGGAAUUCCACGUGUAGCGGUGAAAUGCGUAGAGAUGUGGAGGAACACCAGUGGCGAAGGCGGCUCUCUGGUCUGUAACUGACGCUGAGGCGCGAAAGCGUGGGGAGCAAACAGG
rnacentral:rRNA from 1 species